rnacentral:rRNA from 1 species
GGGUGCGAUCAUACCAGCACAAAUGCACCGGAUCCCAUGAGAACUUCGCAGUUCAGCGGGCUUGGACGAGAGUUGUACUGGGAUGGGUGACCUCUUGGGAAGUCCUCGUGUUGCACCCC